CCCAGUAAGCAGAAUAGUAAAACAUUUAAAACAUAUGAUAACAUGAAAUGCAUCACAUCACAGCUAAUCACAUCAAGGAUGAACUUGUCACCAAUAGUCCCCUACAUGGACCAACUGUGCCAGGGGCGUAGAAUGGGCCUCACUGGUCUUUCUCUUACAUAACAUAACAUAACAUGGUCCAACUGUGCCAGGGGCGUAGAAUGGGCCUCACUGGUCUUCCGUACCGUAUCAUCAUCAUCAUAGUAUAGGGGGACUAAUGGAUCAUUCAACAUCCAUCCACAUCAUCAAACAUAAUAUGCAAUGCAACAUAUUCGUGAGUCUAAUGCAACACCCUAUUAUCUCAUGGCAUUCAUGAUGCGUGAAUCAUGCUAAACUGAUUUAUUUAUUUAAAAGCAUAAGAGUUAUUCCACUCACCUCUGGCUGAAGCUCUACUGACUCUAAAGUGACUGACUCACUGCUGGGGUCCUCGGUUCCUCGGGUCCGAACCUACACAGGUGGACUCAAAUGAGGGACCAAACAUACAUGAACAUAACUCUAAAACAUCCCCCAAAAACCCCCUAAAACAUCACAAAACAUCCAUGCAAAACAUGCAAAGGAAAGCUGGACAGGGCAGGUUCGGCGGCACCUUCGGCGGCCGAAAGUCCCUCCAGAGCCGAAAGUCAGGCACUUUCGGCGGCACCUUCGGCGGCCGAAAGUCCCAGACAGAGACGAAAGUCUCUUUUCAGGGGCAAGCUUCGGCAGCCGAAUGCUGCCUCCACAAGGGGGUUCGGCGGCCGAAAGUUCCUUCGGCUGCCGAACCUGGUUUCUCCCAAAUGGGCAGAAACUUGGCUCAAAUGAACCUCUUGCCUCCCAAAACCUCAAAUCAAGCAUAAACUGGUUCUAAAACAUGCAUACAUAUCAUACAUCACACCUAGGGGUCUCAAACUAUCAAAUACCCCAACUACAACACUUCAAACAUGCCACAUUGUUCAAAAACAUAACAUUUGCUCAAAAACUCAUACAACCCUAAACAUGCCAUUCUACCCCGUAAAACAACUUAAAACUUACUUAAAACAUACAAUGAGCUUAAGAUCGGCUCUUACCUCUUGAUGAUCGAGAGAGAGGCGACCUAAACUCGGAGAUCCAAGCAAAAGAGCUCCUGAGUUCCCAAAGCUCCAAAACUUGUCUUAAAUGCUCAAAACUUGC
rnacentral:lncRNA from 1 species